UUUUUACAAUUCGGUCCCCUUAUCCUUUACCCAAUCUGAAUCCACUUUUUGGAUUCCCUCAAACCUCUCCUCCUCUCACAACUUGCCAUGUAAGCACUCAACUCCCUCUCUCUUCUCUCUCUUUUCCCGAGCCUCUCUCACAGCUCAUUGUCUAUCCCUUUCUAUCUCACUCACUCACCUCUCUCUCUUGCACUCUCUCUUUCCUGGCGACACCCACAUCCACGCACACCCGAGGAGGCACCCCACGACACCACCACCCUCGAGGACCUCCCUUCCCUUUCCCUCGUCUCCAUGGAGCUCGGUGAAGCCCAGAAACCUAGAGAAGUCCCCAACAAGCCAUGGUACUUAAACCCAGUUUCUGGUCGAUUUCGUCCUUUUCACGGUAAAGCGAAGGUGAAGUUGCUAGUGGGGAUUUCCUUAAUCCUUUUCUGCACAAUUAUGCUGCUACGGAGUAUCUGUCUUAGAAACGAGGACUACGACAUAACGUACAAGGUGUGAAAGACUUGAACUUUGGAAUGUUUAAUUUAGGUGUGGAAGACUUGAACUUUGAUGUUUGUUUUAAGUUUGGACUUUUGGAAGAUUUGAACUUUGAUGUUUAUUUAACUAUGGACUUUGGAAGACUUGGUUGUAAUUGAA